GGAGGGUUCCCCGUGAUUUCCCCGCGCCGAGAAACCACGCGACGAUUUUCCCUGCCACAAUCUGUCGCGCUCUUUGGAAGCACACCCACGCGGGGACAGCAGCCCGUUUCCCUUCAUUUUCCACGCGGAAGAAAUCCAGGAGUCAUGCGGCCGGGAGCGUUUCCUCUUCCCUGACCCCGUCGCUCGCUCGACGACUCACGAGGGGGCGGCCGCCGCCGCCACCGUCGCCAUCACCCCGGCGGCUCAUGGUCGACGCAUCGCUCUUGUCGUGCAUCUCCCGGUGGCCGGCAACUGGUGUGCAUCUCCUGGUUCCCGGCGAUGCAUCUCUCGCGAAUCGCGAUCGUGCCGCCACCGCCGCAAGAUCCACAUCUCGGAGCAGCACCUCCACCUCCACCUCAGCCCCGUCCUCCUAGCAGGGCAAAAUCUCGUAGAUCUUGGGGUGACCGAGCUGCCGUAUCCUCCUCCAUACUCCAGCAUCCAUGGAGAAGCGUCGUGCCACCGAGCCUAUCUCCAUACCUCACUCAGCCGAAGCGUGUGCCAGUAAUUGAUGCUGGAGAUGGCGUGCAUGUGUCUUCAGGUGCAUCAACAAAUGCCGUUGCUGAAGACGAAGGAGCAGGUGAUACAUUGAGUUAAAAUUUCAGUUUUAGUUUCAGGUUCAGGUUUAGUUAAAUUUAGUUGCAGCAAUUAGGAUCAAGUUCAGGUUUAGUUCAAUUUAGUAGUCUUAGUACACUCUAAUGGGUAAAGGUUCAGGUUCAAUUUAGCAAUCAGGUUCAGGUUCAGUUAUCUUUUUAAGUCUAUUUAGUUGCACAGACCAAUAUUAACAAUUAGGUUCAGGUUUAGGUACUGUAGUCUGUAGAUUGUCCCUGGAAUUUGAGUACUGAUUCUGAUUGCUCGUAGCAGAGUAUGAGAACAAACAUUGGAGUAUAUGAUGAGCUUCCUUUUUUCAAAAAGGAAAUGCAGUUUUAAUCAUUUUAGGAAAUGCAACUUUAAUUAUUAUUUUACUGUAGUCUGUAGAUUGUCCCUGGAAUUUCAGUGAUUGUUCCUCGUUCUCCCAAAUAAUGUUGAUGGGCUGUCCAACAAUAAUUUCUUUUUUUAGAGGAAGCAAUAAAUUCUUUACAUCUUGUGUAGGGACAGUUAUGAAAAGGAGCUGUUGUUUGAGUUUAGUAGAUGCUCUGGUUCUGCUAGCUGCUUCCUACUUCUAGUAUGACCAGUACUCUAGAAUUAGAUUGGUUUGUGUGGCAGAUACAAAACUAUGUCUAAAUUUAUGUGUUCUAGCUAACUACUAGUAUGACCAGUACUACCGCACAUUUUGUGUUUUAGUUUUCAGCUUCAAAAAGGGUGCUGUAUUUUUAACACUUGUUUUUUUAAUCGCCUUCUGCUAUAGGGUCACCGGAAUUCUGCUCACUGCAACUUUGUCGCUGAAGACAUCUAGCUGACAAUUGACAUCUGUAGAGGUAUUUUGCCGCAGCAGAGUUUGAACCAUUUCGGUCAGCUCUUGCUAGCCCCUAUAGAGGUAUUUUGCUGCACUAGAGUUCAGUUUGGUUCAGUUUUAAUGCUUAUAAUUAAUAAAUAUACUACAUUUGCUAAUAGCUCUCUCUAAAAUGUCUAUAAUCAGGUUUGCUAAUAGCUCUCUCUAGAACAGAAUGAUAUAUGUGUAGUAUGUCUUAGCCUUCUAUAUCUUGUGAUAGAGAGGUGAGUGAGCCCCUUGUUUUGACCAUUUUAUUUGUACAAAGAUAAGGGAGAUAUGCAUGCAACUCACCAGUUCAUGAUAUGAAAUGUGUAUCAAGCAUGACACUUCACGUUGUUCUGCUGCAUAUUCUUGGAACUCACCAUUUCUUUUGUGUUACUUAUACAGGACCAGUGGAAGCAACACAUGAUCAGAGAAAAGUGAAGUGGCCUUCAUAAUUAGCAUCUGAGAAACGUUUAAAAUCAUAGAUAGAUUUUGCUCUUCAUGUCUAUCAUUUUUUAUAUACAUGCACCUACUAUUUGUCCAUUUUUUAUGCUGCUGUUGUCUAUGUAAUAUAUUGGUGUGAGCUGGAGGGCUAAUUUAAAUAUUGGUGCAGAUUUUAGCUUUCAGUUCAUAUAACCUAGUUUAUGUCUGUGUAUUGGAUGUAAAGCAUGGAAACCAUCUGUAUCCAUGCUAGCUAUUACUGAUACUAUAACCUGGUUGACAUGAUUUUAGACUUGAAUUAUGUAUUUGUAUAGAGACUUAGUCCUGAGUUUUUCCUGGUUUGUGGUUCUAACA